rnacentral:rRNA from 1 species
GAUGAACGCUGGCGGCGUGCCUAAUACAUGCAAGUCGAGCGAACGGACGAGAAGCUUGCUUCUCUGAUGUUAGCGGCGGACGGGUGAGUAACACGUGGAUAACCUACCUAUAAGACUGGGAUAACUUCGGGAAACCGUAGCUAAUACCGGAUAAUAUUUUGAACCGCAUGGUUCAAAAGUGAAAGACGGUCUUGCUGUCACUUAUAGAUGGAUCCGCGCUGCAUUAGCUAGUUGGUAAGGUAACGGCUUACCAAGGCAACGAUGCAUAGCCGACCUGAGAGGGUGAUCGGCCACACUGGAACUGAGACACGGUCCAGACUCCUACGGGAGGCAGCAGUAAGGAAUCUUCCGCAAUGGGCGAAAGCCUGACGGAGCAACGCCGCGUGAGUGAUGAAGGUCUUCGGAUCGUAAAACUCUGUUAUUAGGGAAGAACAUAUGUGUAAGUAACUGUGCACAUCUUGACGGUACCUAAUCAGAAAGCCACGGCUAACUACGUG